UAGUGAUUCCUAUUCCAGUGGCGGACGGGUGAGUAACGCGUGGGUAACCUGCCUUGCACUGGGGGAUAACACUUAGAAAUAGGUGCUAAUACCGCAUAAGCGCACAGAACCGCAUGGUUCGGUGUGAAAAACUCCGGUGGUGUAAGAUGGACCCGCGUCUGAUUAGCUGGUUGGUGAGGUAACGGCUCACCAAGGCGACGAUCAGUAGCCGGCCUGAGAGGGUGAACGGCCACAUUGGGACUGAGACACGGCCCAAACUCCUACGGGAGGCAGCAGUGGGGAAUAUUGCACAAUGGGGGAAACCCUGAUGCAGCAACGCCGCGUGAGUGAAGAAGUCAUUCGUGAUGUAAAGCUCUAUCAGCAGGGAAGAAAAUGACGGUACCUGACUAAGAAGCCCCGGCUAACUACGUGCCAGCAGCCGCGGUAAUACGUAGGGGGCAAGCGUUAUCCGGAUUUACUGGGUGUAAAGGGAGCGUAGACGGCGACGCAAGUCUGAAGUGAAAUGCCAGUGCUCAACACUGGAACUGCUUUGGAAACUGUGUGGCUAGAGUGC
rnacentral:rRNA from 1 species